AGCUUUGCACAGAGACAGUAUCGUUGCCAAUGAGGUUUAUCCAAGGCACGAUUGUUGUUAAUUGAAAACUUUUCCCAAUACCCCACAAUGACAACUUAAAAUAUAGUCGGCAUUGGCAAUUUUUUACAGUCUCUCUGGAGA
rnacentral:snRNA from 1 species